CCGUCUCCGUCUCCCUCCACGGUCUCCUUCCACGGUCUCCCUCUGAUGCCGAGCCAAGGCUGGACGGUGCUGCUGCCAUCUCGGCUCACUGCAGCCUCCCUGCCUGAUUCUCCUGCCUCAGCCUGCUGAGUGCCUGCGAUUGCAGGCGCACGCCGCCACGCCUCACUGGUUUUCGUUUUUUUUUUUGGUGGAGACGGGGUUUUGCUGUGUUGGCCGGGCUGGUCUCCAGCUCCUAGCCGCGAGUGAUCCGCCAGCCUCGGCCUCCCGGGGUGCCGGGAUUGCGGACGGAGUCUCGUUCACUCAGUGCUCUGUGGUGCCCAGGCUGGAGUGCAGUGGCGUGAUCUCGGCU
rnacentral:lncRNA from 1 species